CAGCCGCCGCGGUAAUACGUAGGUGGCAAGCGUUGUCCGGAAUUAUUGGGCGUAAAGCGCGCGCAGGCGGAUCAGUUAGUCUGUCUUAAAAGUUCGGGGCUUAACCCCGUGAUGGGAUGGAAACUGCUGAUCUAGAGUAUCGGAGAGGAAAGUGGAAUUCCUAGUGUAGCGGUGAAAUGCGUAGAUAUUAGGAAGAACACCAGUGGCGAAGGCGACUUUCUGGACGAGAACUGACGCUGAGGCGCGAAAGCCAGGGGAGCGAACGGGAUUAGAUACCCGCGUAGUCCCUGUCUCUUAUACC
rnacentral:rRNA from 1 species